CUGGCGGAGCACAAGGACUCCCUGUGAUACGAGCAGGGACAAUGGGAAGAUUCCCUUGCUUCAAGUGCCUUAUUCACGCAAGUCCCACACUUCACCCCAUCCAGAAGGAUUUUGAUCGUCAACUCCUCAUCUCUGUCAUUCCUCAUUACAACAGUCACCUAUGAGAAUAGGAAAGGAGCGUGAACACAAUGGAGCAUGAAGGAGACUGCAGCUUAAGUGGGGCAGAAGCUUGUGUAAGAGAAGAUUAACGCUGGAGAGCUGGCUAGGAAGGGGCUGGAGUAAAUCAUCUCUCUUCCUCAGAAAAUUAAGCGUAUGCAAGGAGUCACAGACAGUGACUAUGGGAAAACCUGUCAGAACAAAGUAGCAGUCUUCCAUUCUCUCCUACCUACAGAUGCAGCCAAAUGCACAAGAAUGGGGUUGGGGGUUGUUCAUAAAUAGUCUGGCUGCUGUUUGUCAGAGGCAACAGUUGAAAUGUCCGUACACAAUUGCUACUUUCGCAUGUGCUAAAAAUGACAAUGGCAUCCAGUCGCAAUGGCCCCGCUGAGAACUGUCGUUCCAAGUCACAGUCAUAAAACUACUGGUGGGUGGUCUUCAUCUCGCUUGUCCUCAUUAUCAUUUCAUUGUGUUUCCGUGGCCCACUGCACCAUGGCACUCCCUGCAUUUUAAAGCAUUUCAUUGACGGGGCAGUUUGACAUUCAUAUUUAUAUGUCCUUGUUGUACUGCAGUGGUUUCUGCUAUUCUUGGGAUCCAAGCCCUUUGUGAAAUGGUGCGAGGAAGAUGUGUAUUCAAAUCUUGGCCCAAUGAAUUGGGUAUUGUCAGGAAAUAACAGAAAGUUUUGAGGAUUUAAACAUCCUGGACACCAUCCUGCUGCUGCCGAACGUAAAGGAAGGGCUUUUUCUUGCCAGGGACUGAAAGCAAGGCUGCAAAAGGAAAUCAGCUGGGGAGCACAUACCUGCCCUUGGGUUCAAGAGCAAACAGCAAACUUACCAGGUUACGGUGCUAAAGCAAGGCAGUCUGUGCUCUGUCCUCCUCUGCCAGGUAUGGACAGAAAAGGUCUUGUUGACUCAAAAAACAGAAAGUUGA